rnacentral:rRNA from 1 species
GAUGAACGCUGGCGGCGUGCCUAAUACAUGCAAGUCGAGCGAACAGAUGAGGAGCUUGCUCCUCUGACGUUAGCGGCGGACGGGUGAGUAACACGUGGAUAACCUACCUAUAAGACUGGGAUAACUUCGGGAAACCGGAGCUAAUACCGGAUAAUAUAUUGAACCGCAUGGUUCAAUAGUGAAAGACGGUUUUGCUGUCACUUAUAGAUGGAUCCGCGCCGCAUUAGCUAGUUGGUAAGGUAACGGCUUACCAAGGCAACGAUGCGUAGCCGACCUGAGAGGGUGAUCAGCCACACUGGAACUGAGACACGGUCCAGACUCCUACGGGAAGCAGCAGUAGGGAAUCUUCCGCAAUGGGCGAAAGCCUGACGGAGCAACGCCGCGUGAGUGAUGAAGGUCUUCGGAUCGUAAAACUCUGUUAUUAGGGAAGAACAAAUGUGUAAGUAACUAUGCACGUCUUGACGGUACCUAAUCAGAAAGCCACGGCUAACUACGUG